UACGAGGGGUGCAAGCGUUGCUCGGAAUUAUUGGGGCGUAAAGGGUAGGUAGGUGGUCUCAUUUGUCUGGGGUGAAAUCUCCGAGCUUAACUCGGAAACUGCCAUUGAUACUAUAGGUCUUGAAUUAUCUGGAGGUUAGCGGAAUAUGUCAUGGUAGCGGUGAAAUGCUUAGAUAUGAACAUAGAACACCGAUUGCGAAGGCAGCUGGCUACAGGUAUAUUGACACUGAGGCACGAAAGCGUGGGGAUCAAACAGG
rnacentral:rRNA from 1 species